GCGGGUGGAAGCUCACUGUAGAGGUCACGUGCUGAGUGCUCGUCACUCCACCAAUCAUCUCGGGGAAGGUCUGAGAUACGAGCCAAUCGCCGCUCUCGCAGGGCGUCAUCUGACCAGAUGAGCGAGCGCACAGAGAAAUGUGGCCAGCGCGCAAGUACCCGCACGAGAUGCCGCGCGGAGUGAUCUGAACUCCGGCAGCUGAUGCGGUGCGAGCAGGCUUGGAAUCGCUCGCGGCUGGCAGACUGAGUGCGAUGUGUGAGCCGGUCCACUGAACCGGAACCCAAUUCAGACUACUCUCCUCCCGC
ensembl:ribozyme RNaseP_nuc Nuclear RNase P